AGCGAACGCUGGCGGCAGGCUUAACACAUGCAAGUCGAGCGGGCAUCCUUGUGGUGUCAGCGGCAGACGGGUGAGUAACGCGUGGGAACGUGCCCUUCGGUUCGGAAUAACUCAGGGAAACUUGAGCUAAUACCGGAUACGCCCUUUUGGGGAAAGGUUUACUGCCGAAGGAUCGGCCCGCGUCUGAUUAGCUAGUUGGUGAGGUUAUGGCUCACCAAGGCGACGAUCAGUAGCUGGUCUGAGAGGAUGAUCAGCCACACUGGGACUGAGACACGGCCCAGACUCCUACGGGAGGCAGCAGUGGGGAAUAUUGGACAAUGGGGGCAACCCUGAUCCAGCCAUGCCGCGUGAGUGAUGACGGCCUUAGGGUUGUAAAGCUCUUUUCUCCGGGACGAUAAUGACGGUACCGGAGGAAUAAGCCCCGGCUAAUUUCGUG
rnacentral:rRNA from 1 species